rnacentral:rRNA from 1 species
AGCUCCAAUAGCGUAUAUUAAAGUUGUUGCAGUUAAAAUGCUCGUAGUUGAACUUAUGCAUUGCCUCGCAGGGAAACGCUUGUGCUCACCCCGCCGUUGGCUUGGCUUUGUGGUGUCAUGUGCAGUUCUUCGUUGGACUACGCGUGCGCCCACUUUACUUUGAGAAACUUAGGGUGUUCCAAGCAUGUUGACGCAUGAAUAUUCCAGCAUGGAAUGAAUUGGUACGACUUUGGCUCUGCCGUUUGGUUCGCAGGACUAAAGUAAUGAUUAACAGGGACGGUCGGGGGCAUCGGUAUUUUAACUGUCAGAGGUGAAAUUCUUAGAUUUGUUAAGGACCAGCUACUGCGAAAGCAUUUGCCAAGGACGUUCCCA